CGUGGAGACAGGUGGUGCAUGGCUGUCGUCAGCUCGUGUCGUGAGAUGUUGGGUUAAGUCCCGCAACGAGCGCAACCCUCACCCCUUGUUGCCAUCAGGUCACGCUGGGCACUCUAGGGGAACUGCCCCGGUCAACGGGGAGGAAGGUGGGGACGACGUCAAGUCAUCAUGCCCCUUACGUCCUGGGCUACACACGUGCUACAAUGGCCGGUACAAAGGGAUGCAAGACCGUGAGGUGGAGCUAAACCCAAAAAGCCGGACUAAGUUCAGAUUGGAGUCUGCAACUCGACUCCAUGAAGGAGGAAUCGCUAGUAAUCGCGCAUCAGCACGGCGCGGUGAAUACGUUCCCGGGCCUUGUACACACCGCCCGUCACACCACGAAAGCCAGCUGUACUCGAAGUCGCUGAG
rnacentral:rRNA from 1 species